GAAAACUGAAAUUUUCGCGAGAGAUGACGACGAACUGUUUCGGUCCUCAGUGGUGCGCGUUUGUUGCUGAUAAAAAUUAAAAUUUUGCCUCCGUAAAACUUGCAAAACAACUUCAAACUACGUUCAACUUGUUUCCCGUUAGUCAGCGCAGUGAAAUCAAUCGAGCUAUGGCCACCCGAGAAAUUAUAAUCGCAUCGGAUGACACCGAUUCGUCCGGGGCGGAGGAGAAAACGCCCGACAAACUGGACCAGAAGAAGUCCAAGAAGCAUAAGAAACACAAAAAGCACAAGAAAUCCAGCCGCGUCGAAAAGGGCGAUAAAUCCAAAUCAAAGAAACAUAAGAAGCACAAACGGAAGCACCGCGAGGAAGAAGGCGAACUCUCCGAUUCGGAAGAUGACAACGAAGAAAAUGCUAAGAGUACGUCUAAGAUUGACAUACGGAAGCUGGAGCACGCUAUUCGUGUCAAACCGAAGGAUGACGACAGCAAACCUAAGGACAACGGAAAUUUGAAGGCUUCCCUUGAGAAGCGUAAAGCAUCGCUGGUGCCGGAGAUUUCUACCGAUCCAGAAAAAUUAGUCGCCAUCCUGACCCAAUCGAUCGAGAAGAACAAAAUCGAUGAAGACCAGCCGAAAGCGGAUGUCGUUUCGGUCGAAAGUGACAGCGAUGGAACUGCCGUUGAAGAUGUACCCAGUCCGGAUGUCGCUGUCAUAGAGGACGAGUUAAAUCUGGAGGAUUUAAUGCGACAGAAAGCUCUGCUUCAAGCUUGUUUGGGUGAAUUUGGUUCCGAGGAUGAAGAAGAGGAGCCGGCAGCCGAAGUUGGUGAUGCAUCAUCAGCUAAACCGGAAAAGCGAAAAAAGAAGAAAAAUGAUGAUGUAAUUAUGAUCGAGGGAGAUUCUAGCGCUGAAGAUGUGAACCGUCUGCUGAAGAAGGCCAGACAGCGCAGUCCGCGAAGCCACGACGAGCGCAAGAGGAAGACGUCCGAAUCGGAGAAGCGUGCAAGCCGUGGAGAAGCGGAAGCAAAGGCCCGUGCUAAGCAGCAGGAACUGGAAAGAGAACGAGCCCGCGAAGAACACCGUCGGCGUGAACAGGAGGAAUACAAUCGCCGAAUGGCCGAGGAACGUUACGAGCGUGAAAGGGCGCGUGAUAGAGAACGUGAACGGGAAAGAGAACGGGAACGUGAGAGAGAUCGUGCCCGGGCGAGACAACGGGAAAGAGAUCGAUCGCUGGAACGGUACCGUGAUCGGAGGGGUUCCUCUAGGGAUCGACGUUCGAUGGACCGUGCGGGUGGCAAUGGACGGAUGUAUAAUUCUCGUGACCGGUAUCGUGGACGAAGCCGCAGCAGAGAUAGGGAUCGCGAUCGCGACGAUCGAGGUCGAUAUGAUCGAGGCGACAGGAACGACCGUGAUCGCAACGGAAGAGAUAGACGUGGCGGACCCGGAAGGCGACGGCCCGAGGAUGACAAGUUUAAGGGCUCGUUGAGCGAAGGCCUCAAACAGCAAAAAGAAUCUAGCAGCGAUAGUGAACUGGGCGAUAUCGAUAUUGACGAUGAGGAGGAUGAGGAAAAGAUCAUCGAAAAGAGGAGAAAGCAACGUGAAGAGCUUCUGAAGAAACUUGGAGUAACCAACGAAGACAGUAAUCCUCCACCGGAAGCACCCAAAGCAGAAGUAGUUCAGAUUAAAACUGAACCAAAAACAGACCCUAAGCACGAUCGGAGCAGCAACCACGUUGUUAAACCGCGCAAAAAAUCCGAAGAGUUUUUCAUAAUUGAUGAGCCGUCGCCGAUGGAUUCCAGAAAAGCAGAAAACAUGCUCAAUGAUUCGCUGACCCCUCCUAUCCCCAUAACGCGAGUGGACGCAGAUGAUCGCGACGAGUCUAGCGAGGCGGAAAAGUCCAAACUCGACAAAGACAAACAGGCGGGCAAACGUGCCGAAUGGGACAUGUUUGCGGAGCAGGAUAUUGACUCGAACUUCGAUUCCCCCAAUACGGUGGUUGCCAACAAGCAAGGCAAUGAAAAUCCGGCCCUUACCGAUAACUGGGACGACGCGGAAGGCUACUACCGGGUGCGCAUUGGGGAGGUGCUGGACAAUCGCUAUGUGGUCGCUAACUAUACCGGCCAGGGUGUAUUCAGUACAGUGGUGCGCGCAAGAGAUCAAGCUCGAGGAAAUGCCUUGGUUGCCGUUAAGAUCAUCAGGAAUAACGAAAUCAUGCAUAAAACCGGUCUUCGUGAAUUGGAAACUUUGAAGAAACUCAACGAUACAGAUCCGGAGGAUCGGUAUCAUUGUCUCAGACUGUUUCGUCACUUCUUCCACAAACAGCAUCUUUGCAUGGUCCUGGAACCGCUCUCUAUGAAUCUUCGCGAGGUACUUAAAAAAUACGGCAAAAACGUCGGUUUGCACAUCAAAGCCGUCCGGAGCUACACGCAACAGCUGUUGCUGGCCCUGAAACUUCUCAAGAAGUCCAACAUCCUGCACGCCGAUAUCAAACCGGACAACAUCCUGGUCAACGACAACAAUCUGGUGCUCAAGUUGUGCGAUUUUGGUUCGGCCUCCUCGGUGGCGGACAACGAUAUCACACCGUACUUGGUAUCACGGUUCUAUCGUGCACCGGAGAUCAUUCUUGGCCUUCCGUACGACUACGGAAUCGACAUGUGGUCCGCCGGUUGCACCAUCUAUGAAUUGUAUACUGGCAAAAUUUUAUUUAGUGGUAAAUCAAAUAAUCAAAUGCUUAAAUUUUUCAUGGAUUUAAAGGGCAAGAUACCGAACAAAAUCAUUCGGAAAGGACAGUUCAAAGACCAGCACUUCGAUGCGAACUGCAACUUCCUAUCGCACGAGAUCGACAAAAUUACGGAACGGGAAAAAAUCGUCGUCGUGUCGGUGAUCAAGCCGAACAGAGAUCUACAACAGGAGUUGAUCGCCGGUCAAAAUCUACCAGAUGACCAGAUUCGCAAAGUUUCGCAACUGAAGGAUCUGCUGGAUAAGGUUUUCGCGCUGGAUCCGGCCAAGCGAAUUUCCUUGAACCACGCACUGGCCCAUCCCUUUAUCCAGGAUAAGAUCUAAUAUCGAGAUAGUCCUGACGGGUGGCGGUUGGACCGUCCCAUAGGGAAGCGCCCAAACCGUACGAAGCAUGAUGGAAUCCAGCUUUGUACGUUCAACAGAAUAUCAGUGUGCUUGUGUGAAAAUGAACGCGUUAGAUGAUCUCUUGUUUUUACGAUGCAAAAAUAAGAGAGCACAUCGUUCGCGCACGAGGCUAGCUGGCCGCGGACCGGGCCGGACCCAAGACACGGCCGCAGUGCAGCGCAGUCCCACCACAUCUGCCUCUCUUUGUCAAUCUCAAGCCACCAAACGCAAACUGCUCUCGAGGGCUCUAAAUCCUGCAUCUUGCCCAAGUCCAAUGAUUCUGACCCACAAUUAUCCAACCACGAGUUGUAAGAGCGUGUUUGAGUGCGCCAAAGGUUGAGCAGUGCCUAUCUUUUCUGGCGCGCCGAAAGAGGUAGUGACAUAAUUGACAUUUACAACACAACUCUCUGUUUAGUUUGUUUUGAACAUAAUUUUCGAUCCUAUUCCCGUUCCAUUAGCAAAUUCGCUCCAAUCCUAUUUACCCUACAUUUACAAAAAAGAAAAAAAAAUGUCCAAACUGA